AACGAACGCUGGCGGCAUGCCUAACACAUGCAAGUCGAACGAGACCUUCGGGUCUAGUGGCGCACGGGUGCGUAACGCGUGGGAACCUGCACUUAGGUUCGGAAUAACUCCCCGAAAGGGGUGCUAAUACCGGAUAAUGUCUUCGGACCAAAGAUUUAUCGCCUUUGGAUGGGCCCGCGUUGGAUUAGCUAGUUGGUAGGGUAAAAGCCUACCAAGGCGACGAUCCAUAGCUGGUCUGAGAGGAUGAUCAGCCACACUGGGACUGAGACACGGCCCAGACUCUUACGGGAGGCAGCAGUGGGGAAUAUAGGACAAUGGGCGAAAGCCUGAUCCAGCAAUGCCGCGUGAGUGAUGAAGGCCGUAGGGUUGUAAAGCUCUUUUACCCGGGAUGAUAAUGACAGUACCGGGAGAAUAAGCCCCGGCUAACUCCGUG
rnacentral:rRNA from 1 species